rnacentral:tRNA from 1 species
UGGCUCAGUGGUCAAGCAUUUGGCUGCCAACCAAAAGGUCGGUGGUUCAAACCUACC